rnacentral:rRNA from 1 species
AAUUGGACUCAACGCCGGNAACUCACCGGGGACGACAGCAAUAUGUAGGCCAGGCUAAAGACCUUGCCUGAAUCGCUGAGAGGAGGUGCAUGGCCGUCGCCAGUUCGUACUGUGAAGCAUCCUGUUAAGUCAGGCAACGAGCGAGACCCGUGCCCACUGUUACCAGCAUGUCCUCCGGGACGAUGGGUACUCUGUGGGGACCGCCGAUGUUAAAUCGGAGGAAGGUGCGGGCUACGGUAGGUCAGUAUGCCCCGAAUUUCCCGGGCUACACGCGGGCUACAAUGAAUGGGACAAUGGGUCCCUACCCCGAGAGGGGUUGGUAAUCUCCCAAACCCAUCCGUAGUUCGGAUCGAGGGCUGUAACUCGCCCUCGUGAAGCUGGAAUCCGUAGUAAUCGCGUUUCAAUAUAGCGCGGUGAAUACGUCCCUGCUCCUUGCACACACCGCCCGU